GUUAUACAACGUUUACUAUCAUUAUUAUUCAUUUUACUACGGAGUUUGGAAACCUCGUCAUAGAUCAGGAAUGUGUUGUACCCUGCGCUGCACAAACAGCACAGAAGGAAAAUUGCCUCUUCCAAGCUAUAUUGGAUAAAAACACGCAGUGAUAGCAAAAGGAAUUUUGUUAAUCAGCAGCACAACAAGCUGUUAAAGCCACCUCGGAGCACCUCACCAUUUACUGACCCCACAGUUAAAUACCUGCCGUGCGUAUCUUAACCUUUUAUGAGGUAUUUGCGAAGGGAACUUCGAGAUUAGCACUUGGGAAAACACCCUGGAACACAGUUGGACCGACAUCAAGAGCCUCCCGCGGGGGAUGUUUGCCUUUCCCAAAUCCUCCUGCCCCGUGCCGGAGCGGGACCCGCUGCCCAGGCAGCGGCACCUCCAGGGGGGCACGGGGCAGCGAGCGGGGCUGCUCGGGGCUUUCCUCCCCGUUCUGGACUGGGAAGAUGCUCCGCAGGGAAAACCCGGCUCCCGUGCCGAGGGCUGCCCCGCAAAGCGGCCCCGGGGCCGGUGCUGCCCGGGGCACGGAGCGGGGUUUGGAUCCUGCCCACCCCGGCUGUGCCCCCGUCCGGGGCCGGUGCUGCUCGGGGCACGGAGCGGGGUUUGGAUCCUGCCCACCCCGGCUGUGCCCCCGCCCGGGGCCGGUGCUGCUCGGGGCACGGAGCGGGGUUUGGAUCCUGCCCACCCCGGCUGUGCCCCCGCCCGGGGCCGGUCCUGCCCGGGGCACGGAGCGGGGUUUGGAUCCUGCCCACCCCGGCUGUGCCCCCGCCCGGGGCCGGGCUGACUCACGGAGCUGCGGGUGCUGAGCUGAGCGCGGCUAUUUCCGUGCUCCCCCUGCAAUCCCUGCUCCUCCGGCUGCGCUGUCAGGCACCUCAGCACCCCCGCCGCCUCUAUUCUUAGCAGCUAAUAACUGAAAUAAUUCCUUUUGUCUCCGCGCUGUUGGCUCCUUGGAUCGCCCCCACACCCGCUGCCAGCGCUGGGGGAGCGGCCGGGGGUCCCGGGGGCGAGGGCAGUGCCCCUGUGCCAACCGGGAAUUCUGGUGUGGGCUCAGCAUCCCAAAUCCCCGACCCCACUCCAGCACAGGCCAUUGAGCGGUGCUUUGAAGCAGGGAUGUUAAUGCGGUGCCACCCCUUAGAAAAGGAUUCUGGCUCUUCCAGUGAGUUUCUUAGAUUUCACCGGAAAAACUCCAGGUUUUCACCUGCGGGCUCCCAUUUCUGUGCCGGCUCUGUGCUGUGGGCUGGGUUCGCACCGAGAACUCAAACGCUCCACGGAAAUUUCUGGCACAGCGGAAUUUCUGGGGCCGCAGUGCCAGCACAGCCGUGCCAACACAUCCCCGACAGCGCCCGGGCACCGUCCCACACCUGGCAGUGCCCGCCCUGGAUCUCAGCACCAGAUGUUCCACACAAUUCCCCUGAACCCCGCCCCUGCUCUGUGUGGGACUGUCAGCGGUGCACACCCAAACAGACGCACGGAAUCGGCUUUAAAACUGCCUGGGAAGGGGUUUAUUGCUCUUCAGCUGCCUGCUGCUCUUCCUCCUGCUGCUCGGGACCCCAGAGAGAGCAGCAGAGUGUUCCAAAUGGCACAGGGUGCCCAGAGCAGCUGGGGCUGCCCCUGGAUCCCUGGCAGUGCCCAAGGCCAGGGCUGGGAGCAGCCUGGGACAGUGGAAGGUGUCCCUGCCAUGGCAGGGGUGGCACUGGAUGAGUUUUAAGGUCCCUUCAACCCAAACCAUUCUCUGAUUCUGCUGAACUGGUAAAGAAAGGACUCAUUUCUCUGGAAUUCACUAAAGAAGCUUGUCUGGAAAACAAUAAAUCUUUUGGAAAAAGAUGAAACCCGAAUGUUUGUUGAGACUCUGUCCCUCACUGAAGGCAGCGUUUUGUAAAAAUCCAACAAGAGCUACCCCACACCAGCACUUGAAAACCUGACUAUUCUGCAUUUUAAAGGAGCCUUCAAGCCUUUGGGUUGGUAAAGUGAAGAAACUUUUCCAUUGCCCUGUCCACCUUUGCCCGAUUCUUCGCUCCUUCCGUUUGUGCCCGGCCACUCCCGAGGGGCUGUGCCAAGGCUCCCCUGCCGAGGUCGAGGGGUUACAGAUCCACAGCUGCCCAGACUUGCUCCAGCCCGGGCAGGAAUUCGCUUGGCAUAAACCAGGCCUUUGGAUUAUUUAUCUCAGCCUUUCAGUUAAACAGGAACAUGCCCUGAUUUUAACAAUCGUGCUUCCUGCGCGGGGGGAAGGUGUGGCCAAUGGCAUUUAAACCCAAACCCCAGCCAAGGCUGCCCCGGCUGGAAGUGCGGGCAGGACCACGAGGGUUUCCUUCGGCACUCAAAACACCAAGGGCCUCCCUCAGGUUAUUUUAUCACCCCCAGCAGCAAUAAUGAUGUGCACGAGGGUGAGAAUUGGGCAGUGUCAGACUCCUUAUGUUGCUGCUAUUAAAUUCAUAGAAGAAAAUCACACAGGAGACACUGGAGAACUGAGGAUGAACCUUUAGGUACAGCCUGGCACUAGAGCAGUGCAAGCCCAAACUUCCCUGGAAGCUGAGGAAUCGCUCCCUGAUCCUUCAGCGGUGCUGAGGGAACUGCCAAUGACAGCCUGGAGGGUCAAUCCCCACCCUCCCUCCUCCAAAAAUUGUAUUUUCCCCAAACAUCCAGCCCGAACCAUCCCAGCUGCAAGUCCUGAAAUCUCAUAAUCAGUAUAAAAACUCUUUAUUUUAUUAAUCAGCACUGUAAGCACUCAGGGCCCAGCUGUGAUCAGCCAUGGGGCCGCCCCCACUUUUGGAAGAGAUUCCUACCCUGCCAUUCUGACAGUGACGCUGAUUUCCCCCGCCUCAGAUCACAGCCAUGGAUUAUUCCCAUUUUCCAAGCCUGCUUUCCAGCCCAGGACUUUGCACCCUCAUAGGCACUUCUUACAAAACCAAAGCUCUGCCUCCUACUUUUAAAGUCUAGAAGGAAAAGAAAAAAAGCUAAAAAAACCUACCCCAAACCAGUAGCAACACAUGGACACGGGCUCCAGUUAAACCAGAAAUGCAGCCUAGAUUUUUAUAGUGGAAUGCUGAAGAUGUUCAAACCAAAAAAAUGCCAAAUUCUGCCCAAGAGUGUCAGAAAAUGACUUUAUGUUUUUAGGCCUCAUCACUCAGUUCCAAGGGCUGAAGUUUUCCACUGCCCCAAGAUUUCUGACACAGCUGAUUGUUCCCCAGUGCAGCACAGCUCUGAGCUCUUCCUGGGAGCCUGAGUGCCACCAGCAAGUGCUUACAGGUAAAGACAGAAACAUUCCAAGGCUGGUGAUUUUCAAAGGAAAGCUUGCCAUAAAAUAAACGCAUUUCCCCUGAAAGCAACCAGAAAGAGUCAUUUGAAAUAAAUCAAAGUUGGUUUCACCUCCUUAACGCGCCGCAGGCCUGACAAAAGCGGCGUGAGCUGAAAGCAUCAGUGCACUGCCCCAUUUCUGAGCCUGCCAGCGUUUCAUCUCGCCCUGGUGUUUCAUCUGUGAGUCUGCAGCUCUGUGGAUCUCAGGGUGGCCUCUGCCCGCACAGCGUGCUGCAAACCACCGGGGAGAAGUGGGAAUAUGGAAAAUCCUGCAUGUCGGGGCUCCCCGGGGAACGGGGGGGACUGGAAGGCUCAGCAGCCCCGGCCUGCUGCGGGGGUGACUCAUUGCAGGAGCCUGAGCUCGCUCCAGUCAUUAAGGAAGGAGUUAAUCCCUGCAGCUUUGGCCACAACGUGGAUGUGUAAGGCCUGGCGUCCCAUGGGCUCGAUUGCAUAAGAAACCAUGUAUUGUGGCAUUUAGUUGAUCAUGCACUACUUCUUCUGGUCACAUGGAGGCUUGAUUUCCCCUUGCAUCAGCUACUACAGACUUUUUACAUUUCUCGUUCUGGUGUCUGUUCAGUUCACCGGGGUCAGCCCCUUCACCCCACCCUUCAGGGCUCACCCUGUCCCACGGGAUUCACCCCAUUUUUUGCAGGAUCCUAUGGGAGGAACUGGGCUCUUGUAAUUUUUCUCAUUUGUGCCUGUGUGUAACAGGUGUCAUUUUCAGUGUAGUACAGACAAAUCCCAAAAUAGCUCAGGCUCUUCAGACGCUGCGAGGAGAAAAAAUCGUGGUUACUUCAGCUUUGGUUGUAGUGAAAAACCCAGCGCUCGCAGCCGGCUCUGAAGUCAGAAUUAAAAUGGCAGACGGAGGAGUGGAGCAGGGAUCUCUCUGCAUUCCGUGUUUCCUGAUGGACUGCUCCUCGCUGCUCCGUGUGUGCACAUCAACUCCCUCACAGUGCUGCCUCUCCAUCAGCUUCCCCGAUUCCCAGGAGCUGCACCUACCACGGAUCCUCCUCCACACUUCCCGGUGCUGGCAGAGCUCUGCUUCCCCUGCCGGGCGCCGGGGCUGGCCGGAGGCACCGCAGUCGUUCGAGGGAUUGGAGGGGCAGAGGCGAGGAGAGAGCGAGCAGCUGCAAAAGGCUCCUUGCCUGGGGAUGAUGCCUGCUGUGCUGAAAUGCAGAGCUGCCUGUGGACUGUCUUUGUCGGGGAUUAUUGGAUUCUGGUGACUCCAGGAGCGCAGUUAUUAGUUCCCCUGCCUACGCCGAGCGUUUUGAAUCUGUGUGUGAUAACACUUAUUAAUACUGCUCAGAUUAAGAAGAUCCUAUGGCUUUCCAGCACUUUCAGCACCUUAUCUCACACCAAGCAUCUGCCCAGCAGCUGAACCACGCUCAGAUCAGUGUCCUGUGGGCAGCAGAGCAGGGGCUCGUGGGGCCAGCAGCAGCCUCAUGCCCCGAAAUCCUGCAUUUGUUCACAGCAGCAGCUCCUCUUAAGCAGCCUGGUGCUUCAGGGCAUCUGCCUGCUGAGGAUUUGCAGGACGUGGGCCUAAAAUAUUUUAUUUCAGGAAGUCAAGCAGUGGUUCCUGUCACCGAAACAGUUAAUCAGAAAGCACCAACUCUCUGCUGCAACGUGUGUGUGCGUGCACGUGUUUUUGUUUUUUAGAGCCAGCAAGAUUUGCUUUGGUUUUUUUAAAGCAGAAAACACUAAAAAAGUUGGCUGUGGUUUCAGCUGCUAUCGCUCGAGAUUUGUACUGCUGACUACCAAUCCUAAAAGAGUUAACCUGGUAAGUAUGACUCAGAAGCAGAGAAGGAGAUGCGAGGCUGAGAGCCGGGGAGGAAAUGCAGAAACAGAGGUGAGGAACAGAAUAAUUGCCAAAAAAAGGUGCAGAGUCCAGGAGCGACGUUCCCUCCGGUCUGCCUGGCCCUGGCACCGCUGGCACGGGCUCCCUGGAAAGCUGCAGUUCCGCUCUUAUAACACAAGGAGCAGGCUGGAGAAUUUAGAGCUGCGUCACAGAGCUCAGCGAGAGAGUGAGAGAGCAAGCUCCGUCGAUAGGUCUACCAGCAACAGCCCUGCUGCAGCAAGAGGGGAGAGAGGCAGCAAGAGAGGCAGAGAGGGCUCCAGGAGGAGAAGUGGCACCAACACCACGGACUGGGCUCCUGCCACCAUCCACUGCCACUUGCACCUCGUACUCGGGCUCGCUUGGCGUAGGAGGCUUCGCCCAUUGACGAUGCUGGAGACCCGGCGCGCUUAAUCCCACGGGGAGGGAGAGUGGGCAGACACCGAAAGGGUUAACGGGAAGGAAAUUUCUGGAACCUUCUCUUCUGCGGCGCUCCAGAGCGAGCGGAGGGCUGAGGACUGCGCAGAUGGUGCACGGGCACGGCUCCUCGGUCCGGUUCGUCUCCCUCACCGACCAGCAGUGAAGAUGGCAGCUCUGCCUGGGAGUGCUGAGGACACAGCCAGCCUUGAGCUUGGUCCUUCUGGCCGAGGAAGUCUCCCGAUUAUGCAGUGGAGUGGUGCUGUGGCUCACAGCAGCCUGAACUGCUCCUUUCUCCUGCCCAGACACCCUGGGAGCCUGGAAAGGAGAGCACAGACAGAUGUACCCUCCCCAAAACGUGCACCUGCACCUUGCCAAGAAGGGCUGACACCUUCUGGGGAGCUCGUGAAGGCGACAGAACAAACUCCAGGUAGCCUGGAGGAGCGGCAGCAGCAUCUUAAUUAUGCUGGAGUGAAACCUGGUUUUAUCAAAACUAUAAAUAAUAAAUGAGCCACUGGUCUUCAUCUGCUGCAUGAUAUUUCUGGAAAGGUUGGUCUCCUUUGCAGCAGAGGGGAAGAUGUGCAGAGGUGUUUAGUCCUUAUAAGUCUCGUACUUUGACACAAGUUCCCAUUUUCAGCAGCACAGAAUUAAGUGACCUUUCCUCCAACUAUUUCUCAAAACCCUAAUGAAGAUUUCUUUGUAAUUCUUACUAAUGAGCCAAGGAAAAACCAAAGCCUUGCUGAGAGCCUUUUCUCAGAGAUGCUGCUGUGAUCUGUGCUGCACCUGCCUCUCCUCAGCAGCAAUUCUUGGUGCAGCUUUUCAGGAGUAAAUCUCACCUGAUAAUAGAGGGUGCCUCAUAAAUAACUGUGCCAGCACGGCAGGCACUGGGGAGGGAACCUGCUUUCCACUCGUCUUUCACCCUGUUGCCCCAGAUAAUGGAUUUAGAAACGACAGUAAAUAUCCAGAUACUGAAUCUAGUCCAGUUACUUCCCUUUCCUCCACCCCUCUUUCUUGGAAGGACAAGCUCCUGUCUCUGAGCUUUCCCUCAGAGUGUGCAUUAGGAUGGAGGCACUGGAGCAGAUUUUUGGAUGUGGUUACAACAGGAAUACACAGAGCUGCCAAAAACCCAGGGCAUCAAUAAGUGAAACUGCUGCCUGCAGUUGUGCUUUGUUCCAUUUCACGUUGGCCUCUGCUCCAGCACAGGUCAGACACUUAUCCAAGGGUUGAUAGCUCCUGAAUUAUGCAUGUGUGGAGCAGUUCAGAGCCUCUCAACACCCCCUCUAUUCCCCCUGCUCUGAGCCGUGGCCACUGGAGGUUAAGUGCACUGCUCAGCCCUGCUGCAGUUCCAGGAAGCAUCAGCCACUCAUUUUCACACUCUCCUUCCUCAACAACUUCCACUGAACCAUUUACAGUUCAAUUUAUGGACACUCCUUUUUCUUGUUCUGACCCACACUCAAAGUACUUUCAACCCAAAUUAUUUUCAUUCUGCCUGCAGAGUUUAAAAGUUGUCUCACUAAAAUCUGCAAGUCCUUGCUUAUUUAAAGCACAGGGACUGCUGAUAGAGAAAGUUCCAUCAGGACACUCACAUUUCCUUUCCCUGCCACAAAAAUCUGUCCUGUGCUCUCUGGUCAGUGAGUGACAGAAAGCCAGAACGCUCUGUCUUGGACAGAAUGGGGUUUACAGCCUGGUUUUAUCUGCAGUGAAAUGGAAAAAGUGUUCCUGCACCACACAAUCUGCCCACACUCACCCCAUCAGCAUCGUGCUCUGCACUAGCAAGAAAUCAAACUUUAAUCAACACUUGCUGGGAAGAACUUGAGUGGAUUCCACCUGGCUAGGGCAGGAAGCAACACUCACUGCCAGGCUGGGGGCUUUCCUCACCACAUAUUUAAUUUCUCCUACAUCCGCCUCAACCAUCCACAAGAUGCCACAAAAAAAAAAAAAUGCAUCCAUAAAGUAGCUAAGCCCAAGGUAACUGUCUUGCUGUCUAAUAAAAUUAAAUACAUGAAUUUUU